UACGUAGGGAGCAAGCGUUUGUCCGGAAUCAUUGGGCGUAAAGCGCGCGUAGGCGGCCCCGUAAGUCCGCUGUGAAAGUCAAAGGCUCAACCUUUGAAAGCCGGUGGAUACUGUGGGGCUAGAGUCCGGAAGAGGCGAGUGGAAUUCCUGGUGUAGCGGUGGAAUGCGCAGAUAUCAGGAGGAACACCAAUAGCGAAGGCAGCUCGCUGGGACGGUACUGACGCU
rnacentral:rRNA from 1 species